UACAGAGGUCUCAAGCGUUGUUCGGAUUCAUUGGGCGUAAAGGGCGCGUAGGCGGUGCCACAAGUCACCUGUGAAAUCUCCGGGCUUAACUCGGAGCCUGCAGGCGAAACUGUGGUGCUGGAGUGUGGGAGAGGUGCGUGGAAUUCCCGGUGUAGCGGUGAAAUGCGUAGAUAUCGGGAGGAGCACCUGUGGCGAAAGCGGCGCACUGGACCAUAACUGACGCUGAUGCGCGAAAGCUAGGGGAGCAAACAGG
rnacentral:rRNA from 1 species